AGUGAACGCUGGCGGUAGGCCUAACACAUGCAAGUCGAACGGCAGCACAGUAAGAGCUUGCUCUUACGGGUGGCGAGUGGCGGACGGGUGAGGAAUACAUCGGAAUCUACUUUUUCGGGGGGGAUAACGUAGGGAAACUUACGCUAAUACCGCAUACGACCUACGGGUGAAAGCAGGGGAUCUUCGGACCUUGCGCGAUUGAAUGAGCCGAUUUCGGAUUAGCUAGUUGGCGGGGUAAAGGCCCACCAAGGCGACGAUCCGUAGCUGGUCUGAGAGGAUGAUCAGCCACACUGGAACUGAGACACGGUCCAGACUCCUACGGGAGGCAGCAGUGGGGAAUAUUGGACAAUGGGCGCAAGCCUGAUCCAGCCAUACCGCGUGGGUGAAGAAGGCCUUCGGGUUGUAAAGCCCUUUUGUUGGGAAAGAAAAGCAGCAGGUUAAUACCCCGCUGUUCUGACGGUACCCAAAGAAUAAGCACCGGCUAACUUCGUG
rnacentral:rRNA from 1 species